rnacentral:rRNA from 1 species
GGGUUGUGAGGUUAAGCGACUAAGCGUACACGGUGGAUGCCCUGGCAGUCAGAGGCGAUGAAGGACGUGCUAAUCUGCGAUAAGCGUCGGUAAGGUGAUAUGAACCGUUAUAACCGGCGAUUUCCGAAUGGGGAAACCCAGUGUGAUUCGUCACACUAUCAUUAACUGAAUCCAUAGGUUAAUGAGGCGAACCGGGGGAACUGAAACAUCUAAGUACCCCGAGGAAAAGAAAUCAACCGAGAUUCCCCCAGUAGCGGCGAGCGAACGGGGAGCAGCCCAGAGCCUGAAUCAGUGUGUGUGUUAGUGGAAGCGUCUGGAAAGGCGUGCGAUACAGGGUGACAGCCCCGUACACAAAAAUGCACAUGCUGUGAGCUCGAUGAGUAGGGCGGGACACGUGGUA